rnacentral:rRNA from 1 species
AGGGCGUGGGGUGGAUGCCUUGGCAGACAGGACCGAUGAAGGACGUUGGAGGCUGCGAUAAGCCUCGGGGAGCCGCCAACCGGGCUUUGAUCCGAGGAUUUCCGAAUGGGGAAACCCGCCGGCCGUCAUGGGCCGGCACCGCCUUCGGGCGGGGGGUACGCAGGGAAGUGAAACAUCUCAGUACCUGCAGGAGAGGAUAUUCCGUGAGUAGUGGCGAGCGAAAGCGGAUCAGGCCAAACCUUGGGCGCGCGAUACCCGUCGGGGGUUGCGUCCUGGGUGUUGUGGGAAGCCCUGUCCCGGUGCCGACGCGCCGGGCGGGAGUCACAAAACCAUGUCUUAGGCGAACCGGGUUGAAUACCGGGCCGCAGAGGGUGAUGGCCCCGUAGCCGUAGGGACAUGGUCUUCCGAUGGGUUCUCCCAAGUAGCACGGGCCCCGUGGAAUCCCGUGCGAAUCCGUGCAGACCGUUGCAUAAGCCUAAAUAUUCCUGUCUGACCGAUAGCGAACGAGUACCGUGAGGGAAAGGUGAAAAGUACCCCGGGAGGGGAGUGAAAUAGUCUCUGAAACCGUGCGCCUACAAACCGUCGGAGCCCUGAGGGGUGACGGCGUGCCUAUCGAAAAAUGAGUCUGCGAGUCAGUGGCAUGUGGCGAGGCUAACCCGGGUGGGGGAGCCGUAGCGAAGGCGAGUCUCAAAAGGCGUUUUGAGUCGCGUGCCCUGGACCCGAAGCGGGAUGAUCUAGCCCUGGGCAGGUUGAAGCGCGGGUAAGACCGCGUGGAGGACCGAACCCACUUAGGUUGAAAACUGAGGGGAUGACCUGGGGCUAGGGGUGAAAGGCCAAUCAAAUUCCGUGAUAGCUGGUUCUCUCCGAAAUGCAUUUAGGUGCAGCGUCGCGUGAUUACAUCCGGGGGGUAGAGCUACUGGAUGCUUGCGGGCCCAUACCGGGUACCAACAGCAACCAAACUCCGAAUACCCGUGAUGCGUAUCGCGGCAGUGACCCGGCGGGGGAUAAGCUCCGUCGUCGAGAGGGAGACAGCCCAGACCGUCGUCUAAGGUCCCGAAGCGUGUGCUAAGUGGGAAAGGAUGUGGAGUCGCAUAGACAGCCAGGAGGUUGGCUCAGAAGCAGCCAUCCUUGAAAGAGUGCGUAACAGCUCACUGGUCUAGUGGUUCCGCGCCGACAAUGUAGCGGGGCUCAAGCACACCACCGAAGACGCGGCAGUAUUUUGUACUGGGUAGGAGAGCGUCCCAUGAGGGGCGAAGCGGCCGUGUGAACGCGCCGUGGACUUCAUGGGAGUGAGAAUGCAGACAUGAGUAGCGAGAGCGGGGUGAAGAUCCCCGCCGCUGGAUGACCAAGGGUUCCGGGGCCACGUUCAUCGUCCCCGGGUUAGUCGGGUCCUAAGGCGAGGCCGACAGGCGUAGUCGAAUGGACGAACGGGUCGAUAUUCCCGUACCGGCUUUGGACCGACCGGUCCGAGACCGGGUUGCUAACCUCCGUUCCGGUUCCGUGCCCUCCUUCGGGUGGGUGUGGGUCCGGCGCGUUGGGAACCGCCCGGCAGUAGGGCAGCGCAGGAGUGACACGGACGGGUAGCCGGCCGCGGAGGUGGUUUUCCGUGGUCAAGCACGCAGCCCGUCGCACAGGCAAAUCCGUGCGGCGUGUGGGCGAGGUGCGAUGAUGGGGCCCUUAUGGGCCGAUAUCCGGUGAUCCCUGCCGUCGAGAAAAGCUUCGGCGCGAGGGCCAAUGCCGCCCGUACCCCAAACCGACACUGGUGGUCAGGUAGAGAAUACCAAGGCGAUCGAGCGAAUCCUGGUCAAGGAACUCGGCAAAUUGCUCCCGUUCCUUCGGUUUAAGGGAGACCCCCUGCUGUGAACGGGCUUGCCCCGGGAGCGGCGGGGGGUGGCACAGGCCAGGGGGUAGCGACUGUUUACCAAAAACACAGGUGCAUGCGAAGGCGAAAGCCGCUGUAUAUGCACUGACGCCUGCCCGGUGCCGGAAGGUUAAGAGGAUCCGUCAGCCCUCGGGCGAAGCGGUGAAUUCAAGCCCCGGUAAACGGCGGUGGUAACUAUAACCAUCCUAAGGUAGCGAAAUUCCUUGUCGGGUAAGUUCCGACCUGCACGAAUGGCGUAAUGAUGGCCAGGCUGUCUCCACCCGAGACUCAGUGAAAUUGAACUCGCUGUGAAGAUGCAGUGUACCCGCGGCAAGACGGAAAGACCCCGUGAACCUUUACUAUAGCUUGACACUGAACAUUGAGCCUUGAUGUGUAGGAUAGGUGGGAGGCUUUGAAGUGUGGACGCCAGUCUGCAUGGAGCCGACCUUGAAAUACCACCCUUUAAUGUUUGAUGUUCUAACGUUGGCCCGUAAUCCGGGUUGCGGACAGUGUCUGGUGGGUAGUUUGACUGGGGCGGUCUCCUCCUAAAGAGUAACGGAGGAGCACGAAGGUUGGCUAAUCCUGGUCGGACAUCAGGAGGUUAGUGCAAUGGCAUAAGCCAGCUUGACUGCGAGCGUGACGGCGCGAGCAGGUGCGAAAGCAGGUCAUAGUGAUCCGGUGGUUCUGAAUGGAAGGGCCAUCGCUCAACGGAUAAAAGGUACUCUGGGGAUAACAGGCUGAUACCGCCCAAGAGUUCAUAUCGACGGCGGUGUUUGGCACCUCGAUGUCGGCUCAUCACAUCCUGGGGCUGAAGUAGGUCCCAAGGGUAUGGCUGUUCGCCAUUUAAAGUGGUACGCGAGCUGGGUUUAGAACGUCGUGAGACAGUUCGGUCCCUAUCUGCCGUGGGCGCUGGAGAACUGAGGGGGGCUGCUCCUAGUACGAGAGGACCGGAGUGGACGCAUCACUGGUGUUCGGGUUGUCAUGCCAAUGGCACUGCCCGGUAGCUAAAUGCGGAAGAGAUAAGUGCUGAAAGCAUCUAAGUACGAAACUUGCCCCGAGAUGAGUUCU